rnacentral:rRNA from 1 species
AUGGCUGCUAGGCAAAUCUCAUGGACACCUACCAUGUCAUCGUACAUGCUAGCCCAUCUAUGUGGUUUGGUGACUGGUGGCCAUAGACCAGGUACCUCCUUCAAGAAUGUCCACUGGAAUGGUUGUGCCGCUGCUAUGAAUGAAUAUUUUCAGCGCACCGACUUGAUUGGAACUCACAUCACAAAUCACACAAGGACGUGGAAAAGGAAGUAUAAGCAGAUAGUGCACCUCAAAUCAUUGAGUGGUGCACUUUGGGAUGAAGAUAACUUUAUGAUUGUUCUUGAUCAUGAGCAUUACACAAACCAUAUUAAGGACCACAAAGAAGAUGAACCCUUCCUGAACAAGCCUAUUAAACAUUAUGAGGAGAUGCUGGUUAUUGUUGGAGCAAGCAUGGCUACAGGGCAAUAUGCAAAAGGCUCAAGUGACCCUUUAGCGACGGAGGUGAUUGAUCUUGAAGAACAGAAAACCAACAAAGCCGCUGCCUCGAAUGAAGAGGUUGCCCAAUCACACACUUGUGAUGAGUCAGCUGCUCCCAAGUUGAAGAAAGUCAAAACUAAUCCUUCUGCAGAAGAUAGGAUGGUUGCAACAAUAAUGGCUUCAAGUGAAAGGAUUGUUGUUGCCAUUGAGAAACUUGCUAGCGACGUCAACCCCGCCAUUGAUGGUCUUUGGGAUGAGAUGAAAGAACUCCCUGGCUUUGAUGUGGAUUCCCUUGCUCAUUACUAUGCCUAUUUGGUUGACAAUCCUCGUGUUGCAACGGCAUUCAAGGUCCUGGGGGGUGUUCAAAGAAAGGUUUGGGUCUCUAGGUAUGUGAAGAGUACCUUUCCUGAAGCUGAAGCAUGCUGA